rnacentral:rRNA from 1 species
UACGAAGGGGGCUAGCGUUGCUCGGAAUCACUGGGCGUAAAGGGUGCGUAGGCGGGUUUUUAAGUCAGAGGUGAAAUCCUGGAGCUCAACUCCAGAACUGCCUUUGAUACUGAGAAUCUUGAGUAUGGGAGAGGUGAGUGGAACUGCGAGUGUAGAGGUGAAAUUCGUAGAUAUUCGCAAGAACACCAGUGGCGAAGGCGGCUCACUGGCCCGGUACUGACGCUGAGGUGCGAAAGCGUGGGGAGCGAACAGG